rnacentral:lncRNA from 1 species
GAGAGCGACACGCAUGUCCAUAGGGAAGCAGAGAGAGACACGCAUGUGCAGUAAGGAAGCAGAGAGUGACACGCAUGUCCAUAGGGAAGCAGAGAGUGACACGCAUGUCCAUAGGGAAGCAGAGAGUGACACGCAUGUCCAGUAGGGAAGCAGAGAGUGACACGCAUGUGCAGUAGGGAAGCAGAGAGUGACACGCAUGUCCAUAGGGAAUCAGAGAGUGACACGCAUCUCCAGUAGGGAAGCAGAAAGUGACACGCAUGUGCAUAGGGAAGCAGAGUGACACGCAUGGCCAUAGGGAAGCAGUGACACGCAUGUCCACAGGGAAGCAGAGAUCUACACGCAUGUCCACAGGGAAGCAGAGAGCGACCCGCAUGUCCAGAGGGAAGCAGAGAGCGACACGCAUGUGCAGUAGGGAAGCAGAGUGAUGAGUCAUUGCUCCACACAUGGUAAACCCAUGUCUACUCCCUCUGUUCUCUCUCUGCUUUUGUUUUCUUUACUUUUUUUUUUUUUUUUGCUUUUUAGGGCCACACUUGAGGUAUAUGGAGGUUCCCAGGCUAGGGGUCUAAUCGGAGCUACAGCUGUUGGCCUGCACCACAGCCACAGCAACGUGGGCUCCUUAACCCACUGAGCGAGGACAGGGAUCGAACGCAGGACCUCAUGGUUACUUGUCAGAUUCAUUUCCACUGCACCCCCAACUCCUGUUUUCGGUCUUGAUGUUUGAAUUUCUCCUGUGGCGAACAAGAUGUUGUCCCAAGACAGUUUUAAGAGUCACCUGGUGCUUAAACCAGAGAAGUGAUACUCCCGAGGAAUUGCUUUUUUUUUUCCUGGACAGUGGCAAGAAGGUAACCUUUAAACAGUAAAUGUUUCCCCCUCCAAUGAAUGUGUGACCUGGGUUUGCUCUAGGUCUUUGGAGAAAAGUCAGACUGCCCUAGAGAAACACUUAUGAAAUUAGCUGUCACCCUAAGAUUGGACACCUUCUCCCUGCCCGUGGCCCCAGGCAGGGGACAGAGAAGGGAUCCCUCCUAGGAGACCUUCUCCUGGUCAGGAAGUGAGGCCGGCGCUCCGGGAUGGGGGCGGGGGGGUGACUCAGUGAGGAGGCAGCGGGUGUGGUUCCUUCCAGACAUGCUCCAGCUGCUCCAAGAGCCGGAAAGACAUGGUCACUUCUUCUUUGUGGGUUUUGCCCGAAUUUGCAAUGUCCCAUUUUUGAGAUAAAACUGGAAUCCUGUUUUUAUCCUGUGCUCUCUGAAGAAUUUCUGUCUCGGGACAUGGUUAGAUCAAUGAAGUUACAUAGUUUUAAGGUUAUUUGUUGCCUUUGCAUCAAGGUAUGUGGUCAGUUGUAGACAGACCUCCGUGGAGUUGAGAGAUUAGGACUCGCUGGACUGAAAGAGCAUGAUCAUUCCAAAGACGCUUGUUUGAAAGUUUGGGUUUUUUUUUCCCCGUUUGUUUUUUGUUUGGGCUUGUUCUCCCCCCGCCCUGUUGAUUUCUAAGCAAGUUUCAGCAUCCUCCGCAAGCUGCCCGCAUCCUUCCGGAAGCAUUCUCACUUUGGACUUGACCUCUGACAUUGCAGGAAACAUGAAUCUCAGAGUGCAUCGCUCAUUCCCAACAUUUCCAAACUAAAAUUGCUUCUUCUCCCAGUUGGCUCGGGGAGUGCCCUGCCUCCCCAAGCCCGGCUCAGACGGUGGGUCUCCAUGCAUGAAUACCUGAAAAAGCCACAUUCUCAUUGGUGCCCGUGGGCCCCGACUGUGGGGAUGACAUAAAAAAUUUUGGCUCCGAAGCACUUUAGCAAAAAAAGAAACAGGCUAGAACAAUGGGCUGAAAAUGAUCUUGGCCUUUCAAGUGCUUUAUCCAACGUUCCAGUGUGAGAACCUGAUCUCCCAGAAAGUACUUCUUUUAUUGCCAACCACAGAGAAUCACUGACAGAACUAAUUAAAGAAUUUGAACCUCGUUCUGUCCUUCGUUAGCUGACCCUCAACCAGGGGCUGGACUCGAAACAAAGACGCUCUGAGCCAACCAGAUAUAGAAUGUGAGCCUCUCGCGGCGGAAGAGGGCUGUGCUCUCAUCCCCCUCUUGGAAAGAGCUACUUGAGCGCAGGAUACUUCUCCCUCUCUUUUUUCUUUUUCUUUUUUUUUACAAUGGAAAACGCGUUGGGUUGCCAUCAGAAAUAAUGAAGUUUGAAGUUCCUGAAAGUUAUUCACUUAUUGGACUCGACUUUCCACCCUUUUCUUGAAUUCCAGGAGCCAGGUCAAGACAGUGAGUUCUCAUGGAAAAUUAAGUGCUUUUGCAAAGGUGCUUAAAGAAAAAUGCUUGUUUCAGGUUUCAGACUCUCAAGGGGAUGAUGGUCAUUGAUUCCAGGCUUGAGACAACGAUAAAGACUUCCAGAUAUGAAUGGACUUCGGUGGAGUCUGGCCGGUUUACCCGAAAAUCUGCCCCUCCCCCGAGUCUGGUCCUAUCCUGGAUAUUCACCCUUCUUGUUCUUUUCCUCCCUACAUUUUAAGAUCGCACAACUUGGCAGUCGUCGUCACGGUCACAUGGAAUGACAUUUAUUGACUGAGUAUCUUGGCUGAUUGAAGAAUGACUAUUUUAAGAUUGUGGCAUGACUUCUUAGAGUUACAUAAUUAUCCACUGACGUGAAGGACCCACCAGGACAUACAUCUUUAUUAGUUUUUUGGUCAGCUGGCAUACAGUGGAAGAAGAGGAGCCUCAGGGAAGCUCCUGGGGAAAACUAUUAUUUUAUUCAUCUGGAAAAAUAUCAGGCUUAGAGAUUCAUAAUUUAUUUUUAUUUUUAUUUUUUUGUCUUUUUGCCUUUUCUUGAGCCGCUCCCGCGGCAUAUUAAGGUUCACAGGUAGGGGUCGAAUCAGAGCUGUAGUCGCCAGCCUACACCACAGCACCGUGGGAUCCGAGCCAUGUCUGCAACCUACACCACAGCUCAAUCAACGCCGGAUCCUUUACCCACUGAGCAAGGCCAGGGAUCGAACCUGCAACCUCAUGGUUCCCAGUUGGAUUCGUUAACCACUGCGCCAGGACGGGAACUCCUCAUAAUUUAUUUUUAAAAUUAGAAAGCAGGAACACAAAUACUAUUUCAUUUUCAAAUGUUUGUUUUUUGUUUUAACCCUGGUAACAAUAAGGGGGGAGAUUUGGGCACAAAAAUCUUCACAUAAAAAUAAAGGGCGGAUCUCCUGUCUGGAGUAGUCCCACCCAACUUGCCCUCACCCUGCACAUCCGGCCGCCCCAUCCGGUUUCAUCAAUGGAGACUGAAAAGGUGUUUCUAAAAGCAUCUGACAUCAAGUCAAGGUCCCCUUAAUCCAGAAUAAGCUAGAACCCACAAGAGCGACUAACUGCAAACAAAGGUCAACUGCAGCCUGUGCUCAGAAUGGGGCUCCUGAGCUCGCUCCUCUAGGGAGCCCGGCCCGAGAGCUCGGCUCCUGCUGUGUGCGCGCCUCAAGAGGUCGCCCAGGAAGCAGAUGCAGGCUUUGGCAUGUCCGCUAAUCCCUCACUCUGGAGACCUAGGCUUCCACGCCAGACAGAUUCUCUUGCAAAUGGCCACAUACUUGACUUUGAACUUUUAGUGAGAGGUUGAAUGUGGGGUGGCCCAUGAGUGAAACUCAACUAUGCAAUCCCAGAAGUAGGCAAAAAGUACGGGGAAGAAAAGGGAAAUUAACAUUCUCGGAUUAUUUGACCAGGAGAGCACAAAAAUUGCUUCUGUGACAAUGGGAUCUUGAAGGCAUUGCAAUGGAGCCCAAGGAGAAUGAAAGAGCCGCAUGUACUUUGUGAGAUCUCUCUGUUCAGUUGUGCUGUGUAGAAUCCACUAUUUUCUCCUCCCUUAAGAAAAUCUUGGGUGUGUUCCAUAACUUCCUGGUCACAUUUGGUAAUUAAAACUUAGUGUGGCUU